rnacentral:miRNA from 1 species
CCUGAAUGGCGGGCGGUGAAACAGAGAGCCCAGCAUGGGUCUCUGACUCUGCCUCCCACAG